AACGAACGCUGGCGGCAGGCUUAACACAUGCAAGUCGAGCGCCCCGCAAGGGGAGCGGCAGACGGGUGAGUAACGCGUGGGAAUCUACCCAUCUCUACGGAAUAACGCAUGGAAACGUGUGCUAAUACCGUAUACGUCCUUCGGGAGAAGGAUUUAUCGGAGAUGGAUGAGCCCGCGUUGGAUUAGCUAGUUGGUGGGGUAAAGGCCUACCAAGGCGACGAUCCAUAGCUGGUCUGAGAGGAUGAUCAGCCACACUGGGACUGAGACACGGCCCAGACUCCUACGGGAGGCAGCAGUGGGGAAUAUUGGACAAUGGGCGCAAGCCUGAUCCAGCCAUGCCGCGUGAGCGAUGAAGGCCCUAGGGUUGUAAAGCUCUUUCACCGGUGAAGAUAAUGACGGUAACCGGAGAAGAAGCCCCGGCUAACUUCGUGCCAGCCGCCGCCGUAAGAC
rnacentral:rRNA from 1 species